UGAAAACAAUGAAAUCUAUCAAAAGAAAGAAUGAGAAUUUAGGGAUGAAAUAAAAAAUUUAGCAUGUUGAUCAAGAAUUCAUUCUUAAGAAAGAAAAAAUUAAUGAUCAUAUUUUUUCUUAAAGCCAAGAUCUCCUACAGGACCCAAGACCAUGUUGCACUCAUUUCCACUCGGUAAGGCUUCCCUUGUGCCAUCCAUACCAACAUCCUUUUCUAUUAUAG
rnacentral:lncRNA from 1 species